UACGUAGGGGGCAAGCGUUGUCCGGAAUCAUUGGGCGUAAAGAGCGUGUAGGCGGCCAGAUAAGUCCGCUGUGAAAACUCGAGGCUCAACUUCGAGCUGUCGGUGGAAACUAUUUGGCUAGAGCCCGGAAGAGGAGAGUGGAAUUCCUGGUGUAGCGGUGAAAUGCGCAGAUAUCAGGAAGAACACCCGUGGCGAAGGCGGCUCUCUGGUACGGAACUGACGCUGAGGCGCGAAAGCGUGGGGAGCGAACAGG
rnacentral:rRNA from 1 species